rnacentral:rRNA from 1 species
AUUGAACGCUGGCGGCAGGCUUAACACAUGCAAGUCGAGCGGGGUGAUGGUGCUUGCACUAUCACUUAGCGGCGGACGGGUGAGUAAUGCUUAGGAAUCUGCCUAUUAGUGGGGGACAACAUCUCGAAAGGGAUGCUAAUACCGCAUACGUCCUACGGGAGAAAGCAGGGGAUCACUUGUGACCUUGCGCUAAUAGAUGAGCCUAAGUCGGAUUAGCUAGUUGGUGGGGUAAAGGCCUACCAAGGCGACGAUCUGUAGCGGGUCUGAGAGGAUGCUCCGCCACACUGGGACUGAGACACGGCCCAGAAUCCUACGGGAGGCAGCAGUGGGGAAUAUUGGACAAUGGGGGGAACCCUGAUCCAGCCAUGCCGCGUGUGUGAAGAAGGCCUUAUGGUUGUAAAGCACUUUAAGCGAGGAGGAGGCUCUUUUGGUUAAUACCCAAGAUGAGUGGACGUUACUCGCAGAAUAAGCACCGGCUAACUCUGUGCCAGCAGCCGCAGUAA